UGGAGAACACACACCUGAAGAAAUUGACUCUGGCUCCCAAAGGCUGGUAGCCAAUCAGAACAGAGCCCUUCUCCAUCAUCCUGCCUUUGAUUCGAGGAGCUACCUGCAGAGAGACAAAGUGAAGAUCACCAUCGGUCCAGGUGGCAGGCCUCGCAGACUGGGAGGGAUGUACCAGAAACACACAUUACUAUGCUCUGGCUGUGUGAAAGAGCAGAGGACAAAAAUGCCCAUUGAUCGUACAGAUACUCGGCAUUCUCUAAGCAUUCGUUGACCCGAGAUCCAAAGCCCUCUGAACCCUGAGAGAGACGGUGACAGACAAAUUCACAGGUAAA